GUGACUGAUGAUGCAAGACCAAGUGAUGACCAAGGAAAGGACCACAGACCAGGGAACACAAGUGUCCUAGACAUUUGAAAGGAGCAAAGAAUGGUCACUCACAGGAAGCCAAUUCCCUCUUCAGAAGCCUGAACUCCGAGGCCACCACACCAGAGAGAGCCCAUAAAAGACCCCAUAGCAGAGUUCAGAGAGUGAACACGGAGAGAAACUUCUGAAUGGAAGACUAAGCAGAAACAGCUUGUGGACAUGCCACAGAGAAUGUCCGUCCCGGGAUUGCUUCAGCUGGUGGUUAUUCAGAAAGGCACUGGUAGAGUUGGAGACGCUGCCUACUGACAUAUCUAAGAGGGAGAUGUAGAGGCUGGCUUGGAGUAAGUGAAUUUGAAAACUGAAACAAGAAACACAGGAAAAGCUCUCUGACAUGAAGAGCGUGGUGAAAAAGGCUGUGAACAUGUCUGGGGAGGCAGCUGCUGAGGUAAGUACCGAACUUACUCAGACAGACACUGCGACUUGACUCUGGAUGUUCCUUCACCUUUCUGGAUAAUCGCGGAGUUGAAAAUCAAUUUUAAAGAUUAAGA